rnacentral:rRNA from 1 species
GACGAACGCUGGCGGCGUGCUUAACACAUGCAAGUCGAACGAGUGGCGAACGGGUGAGUAAUAUGUGGGAAACUGCCCUCCUUUUUGGGAUAAGCCUUGGGAACGGGGUCUAAUACCGAAUAAAGGGGGAUGGGCGCGCGGCAUAUCAGCUAGUUGGUGAGGUAAUGGCUCACGAAGGCGACGAUCCCUAGCUGGUCUGAGAGGAUGACCAGCCACACUGGAACUGAGACACGGCCCAGACUCCUACGGGAGGCAGCAGUGGGGAAUAUUGCACAAUGGGCGCAAGCCUGAUGCAGCCAUGCCGCGUGUAUGAAGAAGGCCUUAGGGUUGUAAAGUACUUUCAGUCGGGAGGCGUUACCCACAGAAGAAGCACCGGCUAACUCCGUGCCAGCAGCCGCGGUAAUAC